rnacentral:rRNA from 1 species
GGCGGACGGGUGAGUAACACGUGAGAAUUUACCUUUAGAGGGGGAUAACAAUCGGAAACGAAUGCUAAUACCCCAUAUGCUUUCGAGUGAAAUGGAUUUAUAUUUAUCCGCCUAGAGAGAAGCUCGCGGCUGAUUAGCUUGUUGGUAAGGUAAGAGCUUACCAAGGCGACGAUCAGUAUCUGGUUUGAGAGGACGAUCAGACACACUGGAGCUGAGACACGGUCCAG